CCAAACAAAGAGUCACAGUCAGUGAGACGACAUAGGAAGUGGACGUGUCUCAGACAUUCAGCUGUACAGACUAUAAUAAGUCAGUGUUAUUAGUAGGGGCUACAUUAGUGACAGGACAGGAGACCAGGGGCCACGUUAGUGACAGGACAGGAGACCAGGGGCCACAUAAGAGACAGGACACAAGACCAGGUGCCACGUUAGUGACAGGACAGGAGAUCAGGGGCCACAUUAGUGACGGGACAGGAGACCAGGUGCCACGUUAGUGACAGGACAGGAGAUCAGGGGCCACGUUAGUGACAGGACAGGAGACCAAGUGCCACGUUAGUGACAGGACAGGAGAUCAGGGGCCACGUUAGUGACAGGACAGGAGAUCAGGGGCCACAUUAGUGACAGGACAGGAGACCAGGUGCCACGUUAGUGACAGGACAGGAGAUCAGGGGCCACAUUAGUGACAGGACAGGAGACCAGGUGCCACGUUAGUGACAGGACAGGAGAUCAGGAGCCACGUUAGUGACAGGACAGGAGACCAGGUGCCACGUUAGUGACAGGACAGGAGAUCAGGGGCCACGUUAGUGACAGGACAGGAGACCAGGUGCCACGUUAGUGACAGGACAGGAGAUCAGGGGCCACGUUAGUGACAGGACAGGAGACCAGGUGCCACGUUAGUGACAGGACAGGAGAUCAGGAGCCACGUUAGUGACAGGACAGGAGAACAGAGGCCACAUAAGAGACAGGACACAAGACCAGGUGCCACGUUAGUGACAGGACAGGAGAUCAGGGGCCACAUUAGUGACGGGACAGGAGACCAGGUGCCACGUUAGUGACAGGACAGGAGAUCAGGAGCCACGUUAGUGACAGGACAGGAGACCAGAGGCCACAUAAGAGACAGGACACAAGACCAGGUGCCACGUUAGUGACAGGACAGGAGAUCAGGGGCCACAUUAGUGACGGGACAGGAGACCAGGUGCCACGUUAGUGACAGGACAGGAGACCAGGGGCCACAUAAGAGACAGGACACAAGACCAGGUGCCACGUUAGUGACAGGACAGGAGAUCAGGGGCCACAUUAGUGACGGGACAGGAGACCAGGUGCCACGUUAGUGACAGGACAGGAGACCAGGGGCCACAUAAGAGACAGGACACAAGACCAGGUGCCACGUUAGUGACAGGACAGGAGAUCAGGGGCCACAUUAGUGACAGGACAGGAGAUCAGGAGCCACGUUAGUGACAGGACAGGAGAUCAGGGGCCACAUAAGAGACAGGACACAAGACCAGGUGCCACGUUAGUGACAGGACAGGAGAUCAGGGGCCACAUUAGUGACGGGACAGGAGACCAGGUGCCACGUUAGUGACAGGACAGGAGAUCAGGGGCCACGUUAGUGACAGGACAGGAGACCAGGAGCCACGUUAGUGACAGGACAGGAGAUCAGGAGCCACGUUAGUAACAGGACAGGAGACCAGGGGCCACAUAAGAGACAGGACACAAGACCAGGUGCCACGUUAGUGACAGGACAGGAGACCAGGGGCCACAUAAGAGACAGGACACAAGACCAGGUGCCACGUUAGUGACAGGACAGGAGAUCAGGGGCCACAUUAGUGACAGGACAGGAGACCAGGUGCCACGUUAGUGACAGGACAGGAGAUCAGGAGCCACGUUAGUGACAGGACAGGAGAUCAGGGGCCACAUUAGUGACAGAACAGGAGACCAGGGGCCACAUAAGAGACAGGACACAAGACCAGGUGCCAUGUUAGUGAAAGGACAGGAGAUCAGGGGCCACAUUAGUGACAGAACAGGAGACCAGGGGCCACAUAAGAGACAGGACACAAGACCAGGUGCCAUGUUAGUGAAAGGACAGGAGAUCAGGGGCCAGUUGCAGCAGUCUUGCACAGGUAAGGUGUAUGCAGGGGUGCUUGUAGUAUUUUAAAUUAUUUGGGGCCCCUUGAUCGGCCCCUGUUUGAUAAACCAGCUGUAUUUUGAUAUCGUAAUAUUUAUCACCAUAUUUACAUGAGAAAAAGUUUCAGUUGAAUCAGUUUAUGUUGAGUGAGUUAGAAUGUGCUGGGAGACCUGGCCCCCUGUCAUGAGCCAGAUUUGGCCCACGAACCAUAAGUUGAGCAUCAGAGCUGCUUACACACUGGUGACCUUUUUCUCUAUCAGGUACAAUCUGAGGAGGAAACGGUGUGUUCAGGACAGGAAGUAACACAGGAUCUGUUUGAGUUUGGGUUUUAUCCUUCAUCAUUCACAGACCAAGUUGUAAAAGACAAAUAUUCAGCCUUUAAAUCUUGGCUCUACAUCUGGAUAUAAAAGGGAAGAUGAGAAAGUG